UACGAAGGGUGCAAGCGUUACUCGGAAUUACUGGGCGUAAAGCGUGCGUAGGCGGUUUGUUAAGUCCGUUGUGAAAGCCCUGGGCUCAACCUGGGAAUUGCAGUGGAUACUGGCGAGCUAGAGUGCGGUAGAGGAUGGUGGAAUUCCCGGUGUAGCAGUGAAAUGCGUAGAGAUCGGGAGGAACAUCUGUGGCGAAGGCGACUGCCUGGACCAGCACUGACACUGAGGCACGAAAGCGUGGGGAGCAAACAGG
rnacentral:rRNA from 1 species